GAUGAGCGCUGGCGGCGUGCUUAACACAUUCAAGUCGAACGAAGCACUGAAGAUGAGACCUUCGGGUGGAUUCUUCUUUGUACUGAGUGGCGGACGGGUGAGUAACGCGUGAGCAACCUGCCUUUGUGAGGGGAAUAACGUUGGGAAACCGGCGCUAAUACCGCAUAAUGCAUUUCUGGGACAUCCCUAAAAUGCCAAAGAUUUAUCGCACAAAGAUGGGCUCGCGUCUGAUUAGCUAGUUGGUAAGGUAACGGCUUACCAAGGCGACGAUCAGUAGCCGGACUGAGAGGUUGAACGGCCACAUUGGAACUGAGAUACGGUCCAG
rnacentral:rRNA from 1 species